rnacentral:rRNA from 1 species
GGGGAAUAUUGCACAAUGGGCGAAAGCCUGAUGCAGCAACGCCGCGUGAGGGAUGACUGCCUUCGGGUUGUAAACCUCUUUUAGUAGGGAAGAAGCGAAAGUGACGGUACCUGCAGAAAAAGCACCGGCUAACUACGUGCCAGCAGCCGCGGUAAUACGUAGGGUGCAAGCGUUGUCCGGAAUUAUUGGGCGUAAAGAGCUCGUAGGCGGCUUGUCGCGUCUGCCGUGAAAACCUCAGGCUCAACCUGGGGCGUGCGGUGGGUACGGGCAGGCUAGAGUGCGGUAGGGGAGAUUGGAAUUCCUGGUGUAGCGGUGGAAUGCGCAGAUAUCAGGAGGAACACCGAUGGCGAAGGCAGAUCUCUGGGCCGCUACUGACGCUGAGGAGCGAAAGCAUGGGGAGCGAAC